UCCCCGGUGAUCCAGUGGUUAAGACACCAUGCUUCCAUUGAAGGGGCCCAGGUUCGAUCCCUGGCUGGGGAA
rnacentral:tRNA from 1 species